UACGAAGGGGGCUAGCGUUGUUCGGAUUUACUGGGCGUAAAGCGCACGUAGGCGGAUCGUUAAGUCGGGGGUGAAAUCCUGGAGCUCAACUCCAGAACUGCCUUCGAUACUGGCGAUCUUGAGUCCGGAAGAGGUGAGUGGAACUCCCAGUGUAGAGGUGGAAUUCGUAGAUAUUAGGAAGAACACCAGUGGCGAAGGCGGCUCACUGGUCCGGUACUGACGCUGAGGUGCGAAAGCGUGGGGAGCAAACAGG
rnacentral:rRNA from 1 species